AUUCAGUGCCGCAGCUAACGCAUUAAGCACUCCGCCUGGGGAGUACGACCGCAAGGUUGAAACUCAAAGGAAUUGACGGGGGCCCGCACAAGCGGUGGAGCAUGUGGUUUAAUUCGAAGCAACGCGAAGAACCUUACCAGGUCUUGACAUCCCGAUGCUAUUUCUAGAGAUAGAAAGUUACUUCGGUACAUCGGUGACAGGUGGUGCAUGGUUGUCGUCAGCUCGUGUCGUGAGAUGUUGGGUUAAAGUCCCGCAACGAGCGCAACCCCUAUUGUUAGUUGCCAUCAUUCAGUUGGGCACUCUAGCGAGACUGCCGGUGACAAAC
rnacentral:rRNA from 1 species